GUGCCAGCCCGCCCGGCGGGUUAAAUACGAAGGGGGGGCUAGGCGUUUGCUCGGGAAUGACUGGGGGCGUAAAGGGGCGCCGUAGGCGGCUGUGACAGUCAGAUGUGAAAUUCCUGGGGCUCAACCUGGGGGGCUGCAUUUGAUACGUGAUGGGCUGGAGUGGGGGAAGAGGGGUCGUGGAAUUCCCCAGUGUAGAGGUGAAAUUCGUAGAUAUUGGGGAAGAACACCGGUGGGCGAAGGGCGGGCGACCUGGUCCCUUGGACUGACGCUGAGCGCGAAAGCG
rnacentral:rRNA from 1 species